GUGCUCACUUCGGCAGCACAUAUCCUAAAAUUGGACCGACACAGAGAAGAUUAGCGUGGCCCCUGCACAAGAUGACACACAAGUUUGUGAAGGCUUUCAUAUUUUU
ensembl:snRNA U6 U6 spliceosomal RNA